CAUAAUAUCCUUCUCGCUAUUUUUUUUUAAUAUACCUGUGCACUUUUACAUCUAUAAGCGAUUAUAUCGAAAGUAUAUUUUUGUUCACAUGCGAGAAUGCGAUAUAUCGAAUGUACGUAACGAAUUAUCUAUUUCGAUUCUCGAAAGUACGAACGGUAGUUUUGUGAAAAGUGCAUAGUGCAAAUUCUCUGUGAAAAAUUGUGAUAGUCAAGAAUAACUUCGAAGCCGGAUGCUGUAAAAUGUACGACGGAAGCGGCGAACAAACGAGGUCGCAACGAGAAACGCCUCGUCUCACCCUCCUUUCGCCUCUCCUAGUCUUUUCGACGGUGAUGUUCCGGGGUAGGUUGGGCCUCGGUGCUUCGAAGAAUGCGACGCGCAUCAGGAACCGCAGCCAAUUUCAAUAUUUGAGGAAACUCGGCUGACAGGAGUUCCGCAAAAUUUGCAGACGAUCUUCGUGGGAGGCUGUGCACCAAAGACAAACAACCAUACACAAGAAUAACAUCUUUCGCGUUCCGCUAAUCACAACACUUGGUGCUGCCUGUACACAGACGUAGAGACGACGAUGGAAAAACAUAGCGCGGUCGUCGUUCGAGCCGAUGGAAAAAGUACCGCUUCUAUCGGCGGGUUAAUGAAGUGGCCUGUGCACGAGAAUUGUUUUUGUUCAAAACAUACGAACGUAAUUACAGAUAAAAAUCCAUACUAUUUUAAUUCUCAUCUAUUCUUCCCUUUUUUUUUUCGGUAAUCGAAAUUCAAUAGUUUACGGUUAAUUCCAUAUACAGGUAUAAUUUUCGUAAGACCAUUACCAUUUGAAUACAGCGAUUUGCGAAAUGAAACGAUCAUACGAAUAAUAAAUUCACCAAACACGAAUACCACAGUCCUACAGGAAUUUUGUAAUAUCUUAACAAAUAAACAGACAAAUCAUCCAUCCGACAGUUUUCUUCGUGUACAUUUUCUUUUAUUAAAGUCUCAAGAAUAUACGUGUACAUAUGAUUAUGUAUUAAAACAAUCCAUCCGAAAAUGUGUGACACCGAACUAUCUGAUAAUCAUCCUCUUUGUGUAUUGUAGAACGCUUUGUGUAUUUUCUAACUCGACGUAUAAAACCGUGACGAUAAUUUAGCCACAGGUGAAGUAUAUACGUAUAGAGGUGAAAAAAUCGUGAGGGUUCUAUUUAGUACCUUUAACGGAAAAUUUUACGCGCUAUCAUUAUCAGGCUAUUCGGUUAUUCUUAACGAUUACGGAUAUCGGUUAUUCUUAACUUAAGUGUUAGGGGCAUCCAGUAGAAAGGUCACUUUUAGUGCGAGAUUACCCUCUGAUCGGUUGUCCGAUUAAAAAAUACAAUGGAAACCUGAGCGUUCGGCACGAUCUUAAUGGCACUUCGAGAAUUGUUUGAUCGAGUAAUUACGGAUGCGCAGUGCGUUUCGAUCAUGCACACGGUGUAUAAUACAGGCCACGAUAUAGCCAGGCUGUAAAUUAAUCCUUCGUCCGCAGUGUCCUUGAAACUGAAAGCGUUUCUUACGCAGAGAAAUUGGAGGUGAGAAAAAAGAGAAAUUCGUUUUCGACAAUUAACAUCGCGUCUAAACUUUUCCACGAAAAGAGUUACACGUUAGGAAUUACAUGGAAAUUUAUCGAGACUUAGAUAUUACAAGAAACAUUAAAUUCACUAUGUAUAUUUUAUUUUCGAAUUCCGCGUAGUGAAACAGAAAAUGAUCGAUGUUAUUUCAUUUACAGAUCGACGAGCUACAAAUAUAUAGCGAUCAAUGUUAAAGCAAAUUGAAAAAUAAAAGACAGAUCGUAAUAUAAAUAUAAAUUUGUAUUUUGAUGCGUUACAUGAAGGAUGACGAUGUUAAAAAUGUUCUUGUACACGCUUAACCGAGCUUUUAGAUUCUUAUACGCAUAGCUGUAUUUUUCUGUCAACUUCACCGUCCUGACACUCGAAACGCGAUCGUUAUAACUUUGCUAUAUCAUGGCUCGUACUAUCUGAUUAUACAUUUGAUAUAAACAUCGUGAUUACGUUGAUUCGUGCGAUCGUUAAGUACUCUAUUUAGGUAUACGUGAAUUACAGUUACUAUAUAUAUACAGGGUGGUUGGUAACUGGUGGUACAAGCGGACAGGGGGUGAUUCUACGCGAAAAAAGAAGUCGAAAAUAUAGAAUACAAAUUUUUCGUUCGAGGCUUUGUUUUCGAGAAAAUCGACUUUGAAUUUUGGCUCGGUACGCGUGCACUUUAUCGCGUCUCGUUAUAACGGAUCUCACUGUAGAUCGUUGUCUCGAUUGACGUUAUUUUUUUAAUUUUUUAAAUUUUUAUUCUAUAUUUUCGACUUCUUUUUUCGCGUAGAAUCACCCCCUUUUUAUAUCACCAGUUACCAACCACCCUGUAUAUAUAUUUUUUAUUUUUCUUCUUACUAUGUAUAAAGUAAUUAGCAAAUGAGAUAGACCUCGUUUUUAGAAACUUGUCCAUUAUAUAAAUUAGAUUCGAAAUUAUCGUUAUAAGUUAGAAUCAUAGCCGCGUGUCACUGAAACUUAUUCCAUGGGAAUGAACAUCUAAACAUAGAACGGUAAUAAUAGUAAAAUACUGAUAUAAUAGUAGUAAGGUUGAAACAUUUUGAAUAAAAUUACUUGUAUCUAUGUAAUUGCUGCUAUCACAGGAAAAAAAUGAUUUCUCAAUGAAAAUGCCAAAUUUCGUGAAAAUUUGAUAAAAGUAUAAUAUAAAAUUUACAGAUUUAUUACAAUUUCACAGACAUUUACCAGGUCUAUCUCUACUCGAAUUACCCUACCAUCCUCUGUAAUCUAUCUCUUCCCUUCUUUUUGUCGAUUCGUUCAUUGGAAUUUUUUGUGUACUCAUUAACAACGGGACAAGUAUUGUGCUACGUAAAUUCCAAAUGAAAGUUUCUUAAAAAUUAAAUAACAAAACUUUUAGAUAUUUUCUAUAUACCUAUACAUAAAUAUACAGGCUGACCCACGAAUUGGUCGCCACGAUUUUUCAAACACUACCGAUUAGCUGACAAGAAAGUUAAUCAGCUUUAAAUCGGCUUCGAAGUUUCUUAUAUCGCGGUUUGUAGCCGAUUGAAAACCGAUCAACCUUCGUUCGAAACAUUUUCGCGUCAUUUUUACCGAAAAUGGUGGAAAUUUCGUGAACCACCCUGUAUAUAUUUUGUAUGAGAAAUAUUUGUAUUAUUUUAACGAUAUUUUGAAUUACAGAGAGCCUCAAUUGUGUCGAAUCGUGGAACAUAUUUUUCUAUAAAUACAUGUACGUUUAAAAUAUCCUGGAAACGAGCGCGACAAUAGACGCAAUGCUCGGCAAAGAAAUUCCUAAAAAUGGAAUGAAAAUUACUGCAUAAAAGGAAAUAACAGAAAAGAAAAUAAUAACAAACGAUACUCUGAAAUUACCGAGCGAAUACUAUAAAAGAGAGUAAAACAGCGUUUGCUAAAAGAAAAAUUGUUCAUCGAGAAGGUGCAAUUGAAAUGGGAAUUUCGUCGGGAAAAACAGCCAUCGAUUACCGUGAAUCGAAUUCGUGCGAAUUUGAAUAAAAGAUCGACUGUGAAUUCCCGCCAUUUUAAUCUGAUUAAAUUUCGCGUAUCGAUAAGUUUGCGCAAACUAAAUCGGUAACAAUUCAUGCAAUACACACACGCAGAGAAAGAAAAUAAAAGAUAUUGAUCACUCGUGUUGCUAUUGGUUAAUGCUAGAUACAUUCAUAAUGAUCAAUUGUUUCCCAUUCAAACAUCACACGCUAUCGUUAAAUACGAAUCGGUUUGCGACAUUUCAAAUUGUUCUACGAUUCGUCAAAUCGCACGUAUUUCUGUCUUACGAAUCUAAUUGCAAGAACUAUAGUCUUUACAUGUUCCGAUCGAAUUGGUAAAUCUAUUUACGAAAAUAGAACACGCUAUUGCAAGUUCGAGUGAUCCGAGUUCAAUGCCUUAGACACGGAGGACCAUACGCUGUCCACUCGAAAAGAGCAACGAUCGAUGAUACAAUUUAUUUACAAUAUCGUGUUGCAAAAAUGUGAAUUAAAAUGCUUAAAACAAUUAGAAAAUCGCUUAUCCUUGUAAUCUAACAGAAAGAACCAGAUAGCUGAUAUGAAAAAAUUAGAUAUUUCUCGUCGAAUUCCUAAUUUGUUAUGCGAAAUUACGAAACAAAUUGCGAUAGGUACAUUCUUGAUAAAAAAAAAAAAGCAAAUCGAAUAAUUCUAUAUCGCAUUUUAAUCCGAGCCUUCGUUUCUCUGAUACGAACGAUCAAAAUUUCGGAGCGUAACGCGAGAAUAUGUACGUUCUCUCGUUCAACUUCGAUCACAGUUGCCUCGAAAACGAAAAUUCAAACUGAAAAAUGGUAAAGGACACUUCGAUUGUUCCUUUUUGUAUCAAAAAUAAAUUGACCGUGAAAAUGAUUAAAAUAUGGACUAAUUUUCUAAUUAUUUUGAGCACUGAAAUCGUUCAAUUGUCACGGUUGGCUCAUCGCAAACAACAGAUUCUUCCAUUUUUAUAUAUAUACGAUAUCGAAAAAUAGAAAGUAAGUUUCAUGAAAUAUCGAUGAUGAAAGUAAUAUCACUUCGUUUAUGAAAAUACUGCUUUUACGACGAGCUUCGGCCCUUAAACUACUUUACAUGCAUAGUAUGUGUAUAUAUAUGUGUGUCGUAAUAUAUUUGUUUAAUGAGAAAUAGAUAACACGAGAGACAGAAUCUCCGUAGAUCGUAAUAUAAGUCGUUAAUUGAUUAAUUUGUAGCUAUUAACUGCCGUUUACUAGAAGAACGCUAAUUUCUAAGUAGACAGAGAUUCAAUCGCAGAAAUCGUUCGCUUAAUCCCUUUGCCGAGACAAUACGAAAUCAGGUGAGAGAAAUUAAACGGAAAAAGUAGAAAUUUUGUUUUGCCCAUUAGCAUCAAUUUAUAUGUACUACGACAUUGAAAAAAGUAUAGACGACAAUUAAAAUCACAGCAAAGAGAUUAAUCGUUACGCGUUACUAUGUACAAUGCUGUAUCUACAUUGUUCAUAAAAAAAUAUAUAUUUCCGCUAUUACAAACUACCAAUUCUCGAACGAGGCUUUCCCGAAAAUUGCAGAAUACCUGUACAAAAAUUGGUAACACGAUCUUUAAUAACGUCCAUACACGAUGUGGAAAUUCAACGAGAGAACAUUGCGCUCUCUCUCUUGGGUUUCUGCAAUCGAGAUAAUUUUGGCGAAACAUCGACAAAAGCGAGAAAAAGACCAGCUUCGACAAAUAACAACGAGCGAAGAAUAAUUAACAUAAUAAUACUAGACAUUCAACUUUCCCGGAAAAUUGAUAAAACUUCGUCAAAUGGAGGGAUCGAUGUUCGAAGAAUAUAACAAAGAUUCAUUUUCAAACCUACGUUUCUCGCAGAACGACCGAUCGUUCUAGUUCCAGCUACCAUUCUGGAUCAUCGAGAAACCUUUAGGAGGGAAAAUUCCAAAAAAUACUCGAUGCACCGUUGAUUCGAUUGGAAACGGGAAAGAAAUCAACGUAUUAACACGAUUACGUCAACUUUGCUCUUAGGACAAACACCAGCGUCGCUGAUCUUCGAUCCAUGAACAGAACACGCAAGCUUAUCGACCAGCAUCCUCCAUUGCGAAGGCUAAUCAGCGAAAAAUAUAACUCGGCGAACGAUCGCGCGAUAGUUUCAUCCCUCGCGAUUCUAAAAUCGAUGCGUUUCGAUGCAAUCGACGAUUUGAGAAAGAAAUUGAGAAUUUUUCUUUAAGUGGCUGAAACUAUGGAACACUUGGAAAUUUGUAAAUUGGAAUAUUUCCGUGCAAAACGGACAUUCGUUAAGGCAUCCGAUACUUUGACAUUACGUGAUAUCACUUUUAUCGAUUUUAAUUAAAACAGAAUUCUACUCUCAAUUAGAAUUUAUUAUUUUAACAAUGUGAUUUUGAUUCGAAUUUAUCUUAUUUUUAGUUUCUGAUCUGGGAAUAAAUCGCGAGAGAUAAGAGUACGCGCUUUUUCAGCGAAAACUCAUUUAAAUCGUUUAACGAAUCUAGCAAACUUUCAGGCACGUUCGACGGUAUAAUAAAAGUCUCGAGGAACCGUCUUCUAAAAAAAUUGGGACGAAUGAACGAUCACAGGUAAGGUUGCGAAUCAGUUUUAUCAAACCUCGUUACUAACUCUCGAAUAAUCGACAGAUUAUCCUCGCGUAACCUUAAAGCGUUAAUGUCCGAUGAAAUUUAUGACACGAAAAAAGUAGAAAAAGAGUUUAAGAUUAUAAAUAAAUCGAGAUUUCUUUUCCCAACGUUAACUGUAUGUACAAUAUUACUUAAUCCAUAAAAAAAAAAAGUUAUUAAGCUUUGUAGAAUUGCAGAAAUUUUCGUCUUCUCCGUUUCAUUGCAAUCCACGUUCUUCGCAGUAACCAACACAAAAGUUAGUCAUUUGACAACGUUCAAACAAACGACGAUCGUAGAAAUCGCUCGUCACACAUUAUGUUUCUUAUUAUUGAAACAAAAUUUCGUCGAGAUCUUUCAAACUCGAGUAAUUUUAAUAGAGCAAACAAAUUGAUUUAAAAGAAUUAACAAGCACUUGUUUUCGCUCAUCAAACAACUUCAAACUUAUUGCAAAAUAUUUGUUACUUGUUUCAAAAUCUUUUUUUAAAAACUAUGGCCUAAGGCGACACAGAUAGAGAGCUUGAUACUCUUCUCGAUCAUCGUUCAUGAUUUUUGGCUCUUCUUCGUUUUCACGCAAAGUUUUCACAAUUUUUGGAAGAGUUAAUCUAAUGUCGUGGACUUAACAAUUUCAAUUCUGUCAUUCAUUAUGCUCCAAUCGAAGGCGUUCACAUUCGUCAAAUUCGUGAACACUUUCGCACAAUCGUUCAAUUGCAUCUGCAAUACUCAAAAAAUUCGAUUCCAGAGAUUAUCAAGGAAUCUAAAUACUCUGUUGCCAAUUUCUUCAA